UUGGAGGGCAAGUCUGGUGCCAGCAGCCGCGGUAAUUCCAGCUCCAAUAGCGUAUAUUAAAGUUGUUGCAGUUAAAAAGCUCGUAGUUGAAUUUCGGGAUCAAAUUGUCGGUCGUGCCUCGGUACGCACUGGUAUUAUUGGUUCCUACCUUCUGAAGAACCGCGAUGUCAUUAAUUUGGUGUCGUGGGGAAUCAGGACUGUUACUUUGAAAAAAUUAGAGUGUUUAAAGCAGGCUUACGCUUGAAUACAUUAGCAUGGAAUAAUGAAAUAGGACGUUUGAUUCUAUUUUGUUGGUUUCUAGGAUUGACGUAAUGAUUAAUAGGGAUAGUUGGGGGCAUUAGUAUUCAAUUGUCAGAGGUGAAAUUCUUGGAUUUAUUGAAGACUAACUACUGCGAAAGCAUUUGCCAAGGAUGUUUUCAUUAAUCAAGAACGAAAGUUAGGGGAUCGGAGACGAUCAGAUACCGUCGUAGUCUUAACCAUAGACUAUGCCGACUAGGGAUCGGAUGAUGUUAAUUUUUUAAUGACUCAUUCGGCGCCUUACGGGAAACCAAAGUGUUUGGGUUC
rnacentral:rRNA from 1 species